rnacentral:rRNA from 1 species
AGCGAACGCUGGCGGCAGGCCUAACACAUGCAAGUCGAGCGCCCAGCAAUGGGAGCGGCAGACGGGUGAGUAGCGCGUGGGGAUCUGCCCGAUGGUACGGAAUAAUUCCGGGAAACUGGGACUAAUACCGUAUGUGCCCGCAAGGGGAAAGAUUUAUCGCCAUCGGAUGAACCCGCGUCGGAUUAGCUAGUUGGUGUGGUAAAGGCGCACCAAGGCGACGAUCCGUAGCUGGUCUGAGAGGAUGAUCAGCCACACUGGGACUGAGACACGGCCCAGACUCCUACGGGAGGCAGCAGUGGGGAAUCUUGCGCAAUGGGCGAAAGCCGGACGCAGCAACGCCGCGUGGGGGAUGAAGGCUCUCGGGUUGUAAACCCCUUUCAGCAGGGACGAAUCAAGACGGUACCUGCAGAAGAAGCCCCGGCUAACUACGUGCCAGCCGCCGCAGUAAUAC